AAUAUUUUUUUCUCCAAUUUCUAAGAUGCCAUAAUUACUUUUCCGCCAGAGUUCCAAAACCUCAUCCCCAUCUCCACAAAGUCCCAAAAUCCCACCCCCGAUUUCAAUCCUCUCCAUCUUCACGUCCAACGACCGGCCAUACAUCUCAUCGACGGUGAACCACGAAGCUCGAAACAAAGCACGUCCUGGCCACGUCACUACUCCAUUUCUCAUCAACGACGACUCACAACAUUUCAGUCGGCCAUACUAAUCAGUUUCUCAAUAUAACGGCGACCACCCACGUCAUUUCGGUCAACCACCUACUCAGUUCACAAUUUGACGACGAUCCACGCACUUCUAUUUUUCAUGAGGUUCUUAUCGUUCCAUUUUCGAGGUCAGUGAGUGAAGUGUUUUGGUGUUUGUGGUUUUUCUUCUUCUUUGUUUUAUAGCUUAUUAUGGUGGAGGAGGAGUGGAAAGAGAUGGAAUGGUUGAUGUCAGCAUUGAUGGCGACCCACGACUAUUAAUGACCCGCGCUAAAUUUUCUUUCUCCUCAACCUCAAGGAUAAUUGGCCUUAUGUGAUGUUUGCUAUGGCAGGUGGAAUAGUACUAAGUCUUCAAAAUCUUUCAACUCACUACAACAAAUUUGUAGUUCUAACGCUUUGGUGAGCCAAUUUUAUCAUACUUUGUGGUUUCUCAUAAUUAUUAGGUUUAGAUCUCCAUUUGUAAUUCUUUAUAAGAUUCGCUUGCUUAAUGGAAGUGUUGAUUGUUGAAAGACUUGGUAAAAUUUUAGAUAUGAAGACUUUGUUUACUGUUGUUGUAUUUUGUGUUGGUUUUGAUAGUAUCUAUAGAUCUUUUAUUGAAGAUGUAUGUUUUAUGAA